rnacentral:misc_RNA from 1 species
UUGACUUAUUUGCUUGUAUACUCAGAGAUUCUAGCAUUAUAAAGAGUUUCGUACCUCCGGCGGGCGGCGGCCGAGGCCAGCCGCGCCCGGCCCCCGAGGGGGCGGGCUACCCGCCGAAGCAACGCUGAAGGAUAGGUUCGCUAUGGUUGUAAAGCAGCCUUUCGGCGCUUCUUGUAAUGAUCCCUCCGCUGGUUCACCAACGGAGA